UCAGUCAACAGAUGGCGCUGAUACGUAGCGCGCUGCAGCACGACCUCGCGCUGGCGCUGCAGCGCCGCCACGUCGCGCGCCACGACUAACAGGUGGGAGAAAAGAAAUGGAUAAACUCGGGCAAUAUAGAAUUUCUAGAAACAACUUCUUCAACAUCACAAGCAUAUUCAUUGUACCAACGAACUGCAUAACUGACUAUGUAAAACAAGUAUACAAGUUUGUGUGAUUUACACAAUGAUUCCAGCCAGACCCCAAAGUUAAUAUGUACUGGCAAUACUAAAUUCAUAUCUUUUUGGUCAUUUAUUUGCCCAGAAAUCAACAAAAAAAUGAAAGUGCAACGUUUAGGCUGGUUUUAGUGUCAUGCGGACUGUCAGUGCGGAUCGCUUCGCACAGCCGAUCUGUAUGAACUGCUAGGGAGCGGAGCGGUUCCUCCGGACCGCAUUACUCUAAAACGCUCCCUAGAAGUUCAUACAGAUUGGCCGUGCGGAGCGGGUCUGCACCGGACGGUCCGCGUGACACUAAAACCAGCCUUACUGCUAUGUGAUUAAAAUUACAACUCCCUAUUUCGUAUAAAAUGCGACCAUAUGCAUAAAUAUUUGUUCAGAACAUCCUAUAUCAUAGGAACUAAACAGACAGGCCUACUGUAUUUCCAUUUCUCCCAGAAUUGUAUAUGCUUGUGAUUAGUAUAUAGAAAACUUCGAAAACUUAUGAUGACUAUGUAAAAGAAUUAGACAUAGCAAAUUCUAUUGAAGAUUGUAAAAUUAUUUUAGCAUAAGUGUCAAUGCUACCACAGUGGUGCUUUGAAAUAUAGUCCAUUAUAUUUCUGUAUUUUCUUCAAGGAUACAUUAAAAUUGUGUAAAUUGUAAUAUAAAAAUCUAGGUCACCUUUGUCAAAAUUUUACUGUAAUCUCAUUUUUUAUUAUGAUUUCUUGAUUAUUUCGCCCAUGUUGUCCAUCUCAUCAGCGAUUGCAUUUUUAUUGCUUACAUUUAGUAUUCUUUUAUUGUAAAUUAGAUAAUCUUGUAUUUGUAAAUUAAGGAUUAAGUAAGAGAACACUUAUAAAAAUUUAGUAGCUAAUAUUAGUUAUAACAGCAACGAGCCAAUGUUUUAUUAAUGUUGCAAUUAAUUUCAUAAUAACUAUUAUUUUAAAUUGGCCUCUCUAAAUAAAUAAAUAUUUAUCUGUAACAA